rnacentral:lncRNA from 1 species
AUGGAGGAGGAGAUGCAGCCGGCAGAGGAGGGGCCCAGCGUCCCCAAAAUCUACAAGCAGCGCGGCCCCUACAGCGUCCUCAAGACGUUCCCCGGCAAGAGGCCCGCGCUGGCCAAGCGCUACGAGCGACCCACCCUGGUGGAGCUGCCGCACGUGCGGCCGCCCCCGCCGCCCUUCGCCCCGCACGCCGCGGUCUCCAUCAGCAGCAGCGAGCCGCCGCCGCCGCAGCAGUUCCAGGCGCAGGGAUCUUUCCCCCCUGGGCCCGGCCGGGCCAACGCCGCCGCGUCGUCGUCGUCUCCGUCCGGCACGCCCGCCGCGUCCCAGGGCCACCUGAGGACUACGGCGCCGCCGCCCGCGGCCCCCGCCGCGUCAUCAUCCUCCUCUUUCGCCGCCGUCGUCAGGUACGGGUCGAGCCCGGCGGCCGCCGCGGGCAGCAGCAGCACGGGCGGCGACGGCGCCAGUCUGGAGCUCAGCGCAGAGAGUCGUAUGAUCUUGGACGCUUUUGCUCAACAAUGCAGCCGAGUCCUUAGCCUCUUAAAUUGUGGAGGCAAACUUCUAGACUCCAACCAUUCUCAAUCCAUGAUAUCUUGUGUGAAGCAGGAAGGCUCAAGUUACACUGAAAGACAGGAACCAUGUCCUGUUGGCAAAGGAGUCCACAGUCAGACCUCAGACAGUUUAGACAUUGAAAUGCAAUAUAUGCAAAGGAAACAACAAACUUCUGCAUUUUUGAGAGUUUUCACCGACUCCCUGCAAAAUUACCUGCUCUCAGGGAGCUUUCCAACUCCAAACACCUCCUCGGUCAGCGAGUAUGGCCACCUGGCGGAUGUGGAUCCUCUAUCAGCAUCCCCCGUGCACACACUAGGUGGCUGGACCUCCCCAGCAACAUCUGAAUCCCAUGGUCACCCAUCAUCAUCUACGCUGCCUGAGGAGGAAGAGGAGGAGGAAGAGGAAGGCUACUGUCCCCGAUGCCAAGAGCUGGAGCAGGAGGUGAUUUCGCUGCAACAAGAAAACGAAGAACUCAGAAGAAAGUUAGAGAGCAUCCCAGUGCCCUGCCAGACCGUCUUAGAUUACCUGAAGAUGGUGCUCCAGCAUCACAACCAGCUCAUGAUCCCACAGCCAGCUGAGCAGCCGACCGAGGGAAGCAAGCAGCUGUUGAACAACUAUCCUGUCUACAUAACGAGCAAACAGUGGGAUGAGGCUGUAAAUUCUUCAAAGAAAGAUGGGAGGCGGCUCCUUCGAUACCUCAUCAGAUUUGUUUUCACUACCGAUGAGCUUAAGUACUCAUGCGGCCUUGGAAAAAGGAAAAGGUCAGUGCAGUCAGGAGAGACAGGUCCUGAGAGGCGCCCUCUGGAUCCAGUUAAAGUAACAUGCCUCCGAGAAUUCAUUAGGAUGCACUGUACCUCCAACCCCGACUGGUGGAUGCCCUCAGAGGAGCAGAUAAACAAAGUGUUCAGUGAUGCUGUGGGUCACGCCCGGCAGGGGCGAGCCGUGGGCACUUUCCUGCACAACGGAGGCUCCUUUUACGAAGGGAUCGAUCACCAACCUUCCCAGGAUGAAGUCUUCAAUAAAAAUUCCCAGGAUGGAUCUGGUGAUUAG